UACCGUCUCGUCAGUUGGUUAAAUUCAAAAACUCAGCCUCUCUUAAUAAUGACUUAGAAUGCAUUUAUGUUUCAGUAUUUUCAUGAUUAUUGAAUAAUUAGGAUUUUAUGAAUGUAAUAAAGAAUUUGUGAUUCUUGCAAACUGAAAUAGUUUUCUACCCCUCGUGGUAGCGAGUUUUAAAAGGAAAAAUGUUUUCGUAUGGGAAAUAGUUUUUAAAAGAAUUUUCUAGUUCUCCUGACUAUUAGAAUUUCAAAACAAGUUUUCGGGUAUGAAACGUUUUAAACUGAUAGAUGUGGAUUUAUGAACAAUUGUGAUACAUUAAAUGUGAAUGUGAAUGGUGUAUGAAUAUGUGGAUGUUCAUAUGUGGUGGUUGUAUUCUGUAUUGUGAAUGUUGUAUCUUGUACUUGUGCGACGUUGUGCAAAUACAGGAGAGACUUUAUCCGUGUGAAUAGUGGACUCCCUGUAUUUGUGGCGGAUCUGGCAUACCCUAGGGGUCAGAUUUUUCAAAAAAUAAAAAAAAAAUU
rnacentral:lncRNA from 1 species